rnacentral:SRP_RNA from 1 species
GCAGUAGCAGUGGGAUGCCUUCCGGCAGGCUGAACGCAGCUGCUGCCUCGUUCUCCCCUCAGGGGGCGUCUCCUGCUGCCG